rnacentral:rRNA from 1 species
GAUCCUGCUCAGGAUGAACGCUGGCGGCGUGCCUAAUACAUGCAAGUCGAACGCUUUGUGGUUCAACUGAUUUGAAGAGCUUGCUCAGAUAUGACGAUGGACAUUGCAAAGAGUGGCGAACGGGUGAGUAACACGUGGGAAACCUACCUCUUAGCAGGGGAUAACAUUUGGAAACAGAUACUAAUACCGUAUAACAAUAGCAACCGCAUGGUUGCUACUUAAAAGAUGGUUCUG